ensembl:lncRNA
UGUGCAGGGGUGCCGCUGCUCACGAACACAAUAUUUACACAAUUAUUCAGAUUUUUUGACAUUUUUUCGGCGUUUUUCUGCAGUCAGGAUGCCCAAAAGAAAGAUUGAUGGUGAGAAGGCCGCCAAAGGCAAGGAGGAGCCAACAAGACGCUCCGCGAGGUUGUCUGCUAAACCAGCUCCUCCUAAACCAGAACCAAAGCCCAAAAAAGCCGCCCCCAAGAAGCCAGCCAAGGGGAAGAAGGGCAGCAACCCUGCUGAAAACGGAGACGCCAAGGCAGACCAGGCACAGAAGGUUGACGCUGCUGGCGAUGCUAAAUGAGAAGCUAACGAGUGUCUGAUCCUUCUAUGUACUUGGUGACUGUACAGUUUGAAAUAACUAUUUUUUACCAAGUUUUAUAUUAAGAAUUACAUUUAUAGUUGACUUGUUGACUUGCUUUUUAUGUACUGAUUGAUUUGACAGGAGUUACUAUAUUUCAUUCAUAUCCCGUUUUUUUUCAAUCAAGCCGUCUAUAUCUUGCCAAAACAGUUUGCCCCGGCUAAAUCUGUUGGCGAAACAUAAGAAUUUUGUCCUAAAGUUUGUUUUAUUGCUUUAUCUUUCUUCCUUUCUUGGUUUUAUCUUUGGAUUUUAAACACCAAACAUUCUCAAAAGGCAGCUUAAGAGUGUUUCUAAACUGUUUUCGGAAGGGUUUCGACCAUGUUGUUAGCAUUUAAAACGUACAAAUACUGUGUUUUUAGUUUUUUAAAAGAAAUUACAAUGAAAUUGUCACUAGGAGAGAGGAAAAAAAAGAGUAAAUAAGGCAACAAUGUUGAGUAAAUUUACUAUGUGAACCUUCUAUUUCUUUAGAGCUGUG